rnacentral:pre_miRNA from 1 species
GGGAGCUGGGUGCCUGUCCUCUGGUGCACCAGGCCUUCUAAAAGGCCUGGUGCCGGAGCGGACAGGCACCCAGCUCCCCC